UCAUAAAUCAUAAAACAUAAUUCAUAAAACGUAUGUUAAAGUAAGAAGGGCAUCGACUCUGCGGCAAACUCCCUUUGGCACUUCAAAACAGGCCCAUUUAGUGGCGGAAUGUCAAAUCAUAGAGUUGGAUAUUAGAUUAGGCAAUUGAAAGAAACAGAU